GCCACCACCUCCACCUCCACCUAAACAUCCAGCGAUACCCAUUCCAAUUCCGGUGUCAGAACCAAGCUCACUAUCAAUCACUAAAGAAACAUGUUUCGGGAACUUAAACAUCUUUUCGCGUCAAGGAUGCCAAGGUCGUUAAACAUGACCGUUAACAGAAAACAUUGAAUGAAGGAGAAUGAAUCGAAGAUAAUGAGAUGAAAUAAAACCAAAUUAAAAUUGUU